rnacentral:rRNA from 1 species
AUUGAACGCUGGCGGCAGGCUUAACACAUGCAAGUCGAACGCACCGCAAGGUGAGUGGCAGACGGGUGAGUAACGCGUGGGAACCUACCCCUUGGUACGGGAUAGCUCCGGGAAACUGGAGAUAAUACCGUAUGUGUCCUGAGGGACAAAGAUUCAUCGCCAAGGGAUGGGCCCGCGUCGGAUUAGCUAGUUGGUGGGGUAACGGCCUACCAAGGCGACGAUCCGUAGCUGGUCUAAGAGGAUGAUCAGCCACAUUGGGACUGAGACACGGCCCAAACUCCUACGGGAGGCAGCAGUGGGGAAUAUUGGACAAUGGGCGCAAGCCUGAUCCAGCCAUGCCGCGUGAGUGAUGAAGGCCCUAGGGUUGUAAAGCUCUUUCACCGGGGACGAUAAUGACGGUACCCGGAGAAGAAGCCCCGGCUAACUUCGUGCCAGCCGCCGCCGUAA